rnacentral:rRNA from 1 species
UACGGAGGGUGCAAGCGUUAUCCGGAUUUAUUGGGUUUAAAGGGUCCGUAGGUGGACCAUUAAGUCAGUGGUGAAAGCCCCUUGCUCAACAAGGGAACUGCCAUUGAUACUGAUGGUCUUGAGUAUAAGUGAGGUUGGCGGAAUGUGUGGUGUAGCGGUGAAAUGCUUAGAUAUCACACAGAACACCGAUUGCGAAGGCAGCUGGCCAGCUUGUAACUGACACUGAGGGACGAAAGUGUGGGGAUCAAACAGG